GAUAAACGCUGGCGGCGUGCAUGAGACAUGCAAGUCGAACGAAGGAGCGGGCUUGCUCGAUCCUUAGUGGCGGACGGCUGAGUAACGCGCAGGUGACCUACCCCGAAGUGGGGAAUAACUGCCCGAAAGGGUGGCUAAUACCGCACGUGGUCGCACGUUUAUUCGUGGGAGUAAAGCCGCAAGGCGCUUCGGGAGGGGCCGGCGUCCGAUUGGCUCGUUGGUGGGGUAAUGGCUUAGCAAGGCGACGAUCGGUGGGUGGUCUGGGAGGACGGUCACCCAGACUGGAGCUGAGGCACGGCCCAGACUCCUACGGGAGGGAGCGGUCGGGAAUUUUGCGCAAUGGGGGAAACCCUGAAGCAGCAACGCCGCGUGAGGGGUGAAGGCCUUCGUGUUGUAAAUCUCUUUUGUCAGGGACGAUGAUGACGGUACCUGGCGAAUAAGCCACGGCUAACUACGUG
rnacentral:rRNA from 1 species